GACAGCUGUGAUGAGCCCAUUUUACAGUUACAGACCUGUAAUGACUCCUGUGGAAAUGAUCGCAUGGUCGAAGAACAUCUAAGGGACUGAGUUGUU
rnacentral:snoRNA from 1 species